GUGGUAGUCCGCAACGAGCGCAACCCUUAUCCUUGUUGCCAGCGGUCCGGCCGGGAACGUCAAAGGAGACUGCCAGUGAUAAACUGGAGGAAGGUGGGGAUGACGUCAAGUCAUCAUGGCCCUUACGACCAGGGCUACACACGUGCUACAAUGGCGCAUACAAAGAGAAGCGACCUCGCGAGAGCAAGCGGACCUCAUAAAGUGCGUCGUAGUCCGGAUUGGAGUCUGCAACUCGACUCCAUGAAGUCGGAAUCGCUAGUAAUCGUGGAUCAGAAUGCCGCGGUGAAUACGUUCCCGGGCCUU
rnacentral:rRNA from 1 species